rnacentral:ncRNA from 2 species
AUGAAUAUUAGACAAAUUGGUUUCUUGAAUGUUCAUGUUUUCAUACAUUCAAGACUAAGAGGGAAGUUGGUGUAAAUCCAACACGGUCCCGCCACUGUAAGCGAUGAGGAUGGUUAGCAAGAUCCACUGUGUGUAAAUCACAUGGGAAGGAUAACCUACGAUGAUUCGUAAGUCAGGAGACCUGCCUAUUUGUAGUAUUAAGC